AUACGACAAUACUAAACCAUUCGCGAGGAUGGGACGGAAAGCCUACAGGAUCUCUCAGAGAUAGCCGGGUCGCCGAA
rfam:Geobacteraceae bacterium GWC2_55_20 gwc2_scaffold_4373, whole genome shotgun sequence.